rnacentral:rRNA from 1 species
GAUGAGCGCUGGCGGCGUGCUUAACACAUGCAAGUCGAACGGAAAGGUCAUGCUUUUGUGGGGUGCUCGAGUGGCGCACGGGUGAGUAACACGUGAGUAACCUGCCCUUGACUUUGGGAUAACUUCAGGAAACUCGGGCUCAUAUCGGAUAGGAGCUCCUGCUGCAUGGUGGGGGUUGGAAAGUUUCGGCGGUUGGGGCUAGUCUGGCGGCUUAUCCGCUUCAUGGUGGGGUAGUGGCUUACGAAGUCUUUGACGGGUAGCCGGCCUGAGAGGGUGACCGGCCACAUGGGGACUGAGAGACGGACCAGACGCCUACGUGAGGCAGCAGUGGAGAAUAUGGCACAAUGGGCGGAAGCCUGAUGCAGCAACGCCGCGAGCGUGAUGACCUCCUACGGGCGGUAAACCGCUUUCGCCGGUGACGAAGCGGGAGUGACGGUAAUGGGUAAAGAAGCACCGGCUAACUACGUG